rnacentral:lncRNA from 1 species
CUCACACUGUAGUCUCUUUGAGCAGUGUUUGCAUAUUCUGAGAAGAAAACCUUUGUUUGGUUUUAUUUUUCCAAGUUUUAUUGAGCCACGAGACCCUAGACUUCCAGCUGCACCUUGGAAGGGAUGGUGUUUGAGUCAAGGGUGUUGACCAAAGCAGCCUUUGGGAAUCUGUGCGCUUCCACUAUGACUGACUGGAGGAGAGAAAAUGUGCUCUCCAGCCAUUUCAGCAGAGCUGUCUUGAUGUUCUGA